rnacentral:ncRNA from 1 species
AUAAAUGCAACGAAAAGGAAUAGUAGGUUUUUUGAUACUUCCAGAGAGCUGCCGGUUGGUGCGAGGCAGUGGUAAGAAAAAAACCGAACUCGCCUUGGAGCAGGACACUGAAAAGACUUUGGUCGGUAGGUGUUCCCGGAGAUUUCCGCCGUUACACGGAAAAGGAUAUGUUUGUAUCCUAAAAAGUGCGUCCUUUUUUUGGACGAAUGAGAGUGGUACCGUGGAAGCUAUGCCUUUCACCUCUUUG